AAUGAACGCUGGCGGCAUGCCUAACACAUGCAAGUCGAACGAAGGCUUCGGCCUUAGUGGCGCACGGGUGCGUAACGCGUGGGAAUCUGCCCUUGGGUUCGGAAUAACAGUUAGAAAUGACUGCUAAUACCGGAUGAUGUCGUAAGACCAAAGAUUUAUCGCCCAAGGAUGAGCCCGCGUAGGAUUAGCUAGUUGGUGGGGUAAAGGCCUACCAAGGCGACGAUCCUUAGCUGGUCUGAGAGGAUGAUCAGCCACACUGGGACUGAGACACGGCCCAGACUCCUACGGGAGGCAGCAGUGGGGAAUAUUGGAAAAUGGGCGAAAGCAUGAUCCAGCAAUGCCGCGUGAGUGAUGAAGGCAUUAGGGUUGUAAAGCUCUUUUAACCGGGCUGAUAAUGACAGUACCGGGAGAAUAAGCCACGGCUAACUUCGUG
rnacentral:rRNA from 1 species